AUUAAACGCUGGCGGCAUGCCUUACACAUGCAAGUCGAACGGCAGCACGGGGGGCAACCCUGGUGGCGAGUGGCGGACGGGUGAGUAAAGCAUCGGAACGUAUCCUGGAGUGGGGGAUAACGUAGCGAAAGUUACGCUAAUACCGCAUAUUCUGUGAGCAGGAAAGCAGGGGAUCGCAAGACCUUGCGCUCUGGGAGCGGCCGAUGUCGGAUUAGCUAGUUGGUGGGGUAAAGGCCUACCAAGGCGACGAUCCGUAGCGGGUCUGAGAGGAUGAUCCGCCACACUGGGACUGAGACACGGCCCAGACUCCUACGGGAGGCAGCAGUGGGGGAAUUUUUGGGACAAAUGGGCGGAAGCCUGAUCCAGCCAUGCCGCGUGAGUGAAGAAGGCCUCGGUG
rnacentral:rRNA from 1 species